rnacentral:rRNA from 1 species
CUCGUAGGUGGUUUGUCGCGUUGUUCGUGAAAACUCACAGCUUAACUGUGGGCGUGCGGGCGAUACGGGCAGACUAGAGUACUGCAGGGGAGGACUGGAAUUCCUGGUGUAGCGGUGGAAUGCGCAGAUAUCAGGAGGAACACCGGUGGCGAAGGCGGGUCUCUGGGCAGUAACUGACGCUGAGGAGCGAAAGCGUGGGGAGCGAACA